GGCUGGGGUGGAGGGGAGUAGUAGUAGUUGUGGUGGUGGUGGUGUUCACAAAUACUAUGCAAAAUUAUGGAAAAGCAGUUAAAAGUGGAAUCAUUCCAUAUAAAUGAAGGGUAAAGGACUUCCCUUCCCUUCUUGUCCCUUUUCUUCAAAACCUAGGCAAAUUCACAGAGCACAGACAGAAGAAAGACUUGGUGUAAACAGAAUGGUUGAAGGUGAAGACUGAUCUCCAAUUUUUGCUAUUCUAGGUCCUUCUGCCAAAAUGUGGAGUGACCAAGGAGCCAUGAGGGAAUUGUCUUAUUUCUUACUAUGAUUUGCUACCGCCGCCGCGUCCUGCCCACUCAGUCACCUCGGCUUCCCACAACCAAGUGCAGAAACAGGCCUGAGCUACAAGAGCUGAAUUAACAAGAACAAGCUGGCAGUUGGAGUGUCUGCUCUUGUCUCUGCCAUCUCAAGUUACUGACAUCUUAACCAACUUCCCAAACUCUUCUCAAGUGCAGUCUCCUCUACAGAGUCUUGAUCCUGGCCACCAGAGGUCACUUCUUCCUGCAACUGUGAUGUCAGGCUGCCUAGGAUCUAAUGCUGUCCCAACACGUUCCUGGCUGCGGGACCCUGGGCAGGUAAUUUGAACUCUAUGUGUCCAAAUUCCUCAUCUGGAAAAUGGGGAGAAUAAUGCAAACUCCCUCAUAGGGCUGUGAGAAUCAAAUAAUCCAGUUCAUGAAAAACGCUUAGCACAGCAUCCUACCUGAAGCUAAGUGCUGAGACUGGCCAUCAGCUAUGACUCUUGAAGAACUUUCAUUUCUCUAAAAGACCUUGCCUCACUUCCUUAUGUGUACAGUAUCUUGCUCAUCUACCUCUUCUCACUGUCCUUACAGGUUGAU
rnacentral:lncRNA from 1 species